UACGUAGGGUGCGAGCGUUGUCCGGAAUUAUUGGGCGUAAAGAGCUCGUAGGCGGUUUGUCGCGUCGGCUGUGAAAACUGGAGGCUUAACCUUCAGCGUGCAGUCGAUACGGGCAGACUAGAGUGUGGUAGGGGAGACUGGAAUUCCUGGUGUAGCGGUGAAAUGCGCAGAUAUCAGGAGGAACACCGAUGGCGAAGGCAGGUCUCUGGGCCACUACUGACGCUGAGAAGCGAAAGCAUGGGGAGCGAACAGG
rnacentral:rRNA from 1 species